rnacentral:misc_RNA from 1 species
CCAAUAGCGUAUAUUAAAGUUGUUGUGGUUAAAAAGCUCGUAGUUGAACCUUGGGCCUGGCUGGCCGGUCCGCCUCACCGCGUGUACUGGUCCGGCCGGGCCUUUCCCUCUGUGGAACCCCAUGCCCUUCACUGGGUGUGGCGGGGAAACAGGACUUUUACUUUGAAAAAAUUAGAGUGCUCCAGGCAGGCCUAUGCCCGAAUACAUUAGCAUGGAAUAAUAGAAUAGGACGUGUGGUUCUAUUUUGUUGGUUUCUAGGACCGCCGUAAUGAUUAAUAGGGACAGUCGGGGGCAUCAGUAUUCAAUUGUCAGAGGUGAAAUUCUUGGAUUUAUUGAAGACUAACUACUGCGAAAGCAUUUGCCAAGGAUGUUUUCAUUAAUCAGGAACGAAAGUUAGGGGAUCGAAGACGAUCAGAUACCGUCGUAGUCUUAACCAUAAACUAUGCCGACUAGGGAUCGGACGAUGUUAUUUUUUGACUCGUUCGGCACCUUACGAGAAACCAAAGUGUUGGGUUC